rnacentral:rRNA from 1 species
GGGUUGUGAGGUUAAGCGACUAAGCGUACACGGUGGAUGCCCUGGCAGUCAGAGGCGAUGAAGGACGUGCUAAUCUGCGAUAAGCGCCGGUAAGGUGAUAUGAACCGUUAUAACCGGCGAUUUCCGAAUGGGGAAACCCAGUGUGACUCGUCACACUAUCAUUAACUGAAUCCAUAGGUUAAUGAGGCGAACCGGGGGAACUGAAACAUCUAAGUACCCCGAGGAAAAGAAAUCAACCGAGAUUCCCCCAGUAGCGGCGAGCGAACGGGGAGGAGCCCAGAGCCUGAAUCAGCAUGUGUGUUAGUGGAAGCGUCUGGAAAGGCGCGCGAUACAGGGUGACAGCCCCGUACACAAAAGCGCAUGUGCUGUGAGCUCGAUGAGUAGGGCGGGACACGUGGUAUCCUGUCUGAAUAUGGGGGGACCAUCCUCCAAGGCUAAAUACUCCUGACUGACCGAUAGUGAACCAGUACCGUGAGGGAAAGGCGAAAAGAACCCCGGCGAGGGGAGUGAAAAAGAACCUGAAACCGUGUACGUACAAGCAGUGGGAGCACCCUUUGGGGUGUGACUGCGUACCUUUUGUAUAAUGGGUCAGCGACUUAUAUUCUGUAGCAAGGUUAACCGAAUAGGGGAGCCGGAGGGAAACCGAGUCUUAAUUGGGCGUUAAGUUGCAGGGUAUAGACCCGAAACCCGGUGAUCUAGCCAUGGGCAGGUUGAAGGUUGGGUAACACUAACUGGAGGACCGAACCGACUAAUGUUGAAAAAUUAGCGGAUGACCUGUGGCUGGGGGUGAAAGGCCAAUCAAACCGGGAGAUAGCUGGUUCUCCCCGAAAGCUAUUUAGGUAGCGCCUCGUGAAUUCAUCUCCGGGGGUAGAGCACUGUUUCGGCUAGGGGGCCAUCCCGGCUUACCAACCCGAUGCAAACUGCGAAUACCGGAGAAUGUUAUCACGGGAGACACACGGCGGGUGCUAACGUCCGUCGUGAAGAGGGAAACAACCCAGACCGCCAGCUAAGGUCCCAAAGUCAUGGUUAAGUGGGAAACGAUGUGGGAAGGCCCAGACAGCCAGGAUGUUGGCUUAGAAGCAGCCAUCAUUUAAAGAAAGCGUAAUAGCUCACUGGUCGAGUCGGCCUGCGCGGAAGAUGUAACGGGGCUAAACCAUGCACCGAAGCUGCGGCAGCGACACUCAGGUGUUGUUGGGUAGGGGAGCGUUCUGUAAGCCUGCGAAGGUGGCCUGUGAGGGUUGCUGGAGGUAUCAGAAGUGCGAAUGCUGACAUAAGUAACGAUAAAGCGGGUGAAAAGCCCGCUCGCCGGAAGACCAAGGGUUCCUGUCCAACGUUAAUCGGGGCAGGGUGAGUCGACCCCUAAGGCGAGGCCGAAAGGCGUAGUCGAUGGGAAACGGGUUAAUAUUCCCGUACUUGGUGUUACUGCGAAGGGGGGACGGAGAAGGCUAUGUUGGCCGGGCGACGGUUGUCCCGGUUUAAGCGUGUAGGCUGGUUUUCCAGGCAAAUCCGGAAAAUCAAGGCUGAGGCGUGACGACGAGGCACUACGGUGCUGAAGCAACAAAUGCCCUGCUUCCAGGAAAAGCCUCUAAGCAUCAGGUAACAUCAAAUCGUACCCCAAACCGACACAGGUGGUCAGGUAGAGAAUACCAAGGCGCUUGAGAGAACUCGGGUGAAGGAACUAGGCAAAAUGGUGCCGUAACUUCGGGAGAAGGCACGCUGACACGUAGGUGAAGUGAUUUACUCAUGGAGCUGAAGUCAGUCGAAGAUACCAGCUGGCUGCAACUGUUUAUUAAAAACACAGCACUGUGCAAACACGAAAGUGGACGUAUACGGUGUGACGCCUGCCCGGUGCCGGAAGGUUAAUUGAUGGGGUCAGCGCAAGCGAAGCUCCUGAUCGAAGCCCCGGUAAACGGCGGCCGUAACUAUAACGGUCCUAAGGUAGCGAAAUUCCUUGUCGGGUAAGUUCCGACCUGCACGAAUGGCGUAAUGAUGGCCAGGCUGUCUCCACCCGAGACUCAGUGAAAUUGAACUCGCUGUGAAGAUGCAGUGUACCCGCGGCAAGACGGAAAGACCCCGUGAACCUUUACUAUAGCUUGACACUGAACAUUGAGCCUUGAUGUGUAGGAUAGGUGGGAGGCUUUGAAGUGUGGACGCCAGUCUGCAUGGAGCCGGCCUUGAAAUACCACCCUUUAAUGUUUGAUGUUCUAACGUGGACCCGUGAUCCGGGUUGCGGACAGUGUCUGGUGGGUAGUUUGACUGGGGCGGUCUCCUCCUAAAGAGUAACGGAGGAGCACGAAGGUUGGCUAAUCCUGGUCGGACAUCAGGAGGUUAGUGCAAUGGCAUAAGCCAGCUUGACUGCGAGCGUGACGGCGCGAGCAGGUGCGAAAGCAGGUCAUAGUGAUCCGGUGGUUCUGAAUGGAAGGGCCAUCGCUCAACGGAUAAAAGGUACUCCGGGGAUAACAGGCUGAUACCGCCCAAGAGUUCAUAUCGACGGCGGUGUUUGGCACCUCGAUGUCGGCUCAUCACAUCCUGGGGCUGAAGUAGGUCCCAAGGGUAUGGCUGUUCGCCAUUUAAAGUGGUACGCGAGCUGGGUUUAGAACGUCGUGAGACAGUUCGGUCCCUAUCUGCCGUGGGCGCUGGAGAACUGAGGGGGGCUGCUCCUAGUACGAGAGGACCGGAGUGGACGCAUCACUGGUGUUCGGGUUGUCAUGCCAAUGGCACUGCCCGGUAGCUAAAUGCGGAAGAGAUAAGUGCUGAAAGCAUCUAAGCACGAAACUUGCCCCGAGAUGAGUUCUCCCUGAGACUUUAGGUCUCCUGAAGGAACGUUGAAGACGACGACGUUGAUAGGCCGGGUGUGUAAGCGCAGCGAUGCGUUGAGCUAACCGGUACUAAUGAACCGUGAGGCUUAACCUUACAACGCCGAAG